UUGUAACCUUUAUGUAACUAGGCAAGUCAGUUAAGAACAAAUUCUUAUUUACAAGAACAGCCUACUCCUUCCUCCCCGUGGGGAAUUGAACCCCGGUUCUUUUGCUAAACGGCCCUAAACAGUUUCCCAUGCAUUGUCAAUAGAGUUUGUAAACCAACCCAGAUGUAAUAUAAUUCUUGCCACGUGUUGACUCAGUGGCGCUUCUCCAUGCAGGACAUGGGAGGGGGAGGGACUCACACUCUGUAAACAGGAAUAGGUGCAGGGUUUAACAUAGCCUCUCUGUGCAGCGCGGCAACCAGGGAUUAUUUAGCUAAACGGCCCUAAACAGUUUCAAAUGCAUUGUCAAUUGGGUUUGGAAACCAACCUGAAUGUUAUAUAAUUCUGGCCACAUGUUGACUCAGUGGCGCUUCUCCAUGCAGGACAUGGGAGGGGGAGGGAUUCACCCUGUGUAAACAGGAAUAGGUGCAUCACCGGUCACUGAGCUGGCAAGCUAAAGUUAGCUAGUUAGUCAUAGAAAUGUAGUUCAGCCUGUUAAUUAUUUCAGUCCGAUUCGACUUAUCUUACGAAGUCCGCAUGGUUUAACAGUUUCUUUCGUUUUUGACCUUGACGUUGUUGCUGGAUAGAUACUUUCAUAUCUAACAUGCUGGCGAUGCUAGCCAGCUAACCUCAUAUCUGGAUGCCUCACUCUAGUUCCCGAUAGAGCAGCAUACUGGACCUCCAUUCCCAAACUUGUAGCCCCCUGUCCCCAGUUGGAAAGACCAGGAAAAAGUGUUGGCUUAAGAUCUGCCAGCCUGCUCAGUGGGUGACAGGUUACCGUCUUUCCACCAAGCUGUUCCAGGCCUGGAGUGGCACGUUGGAACUUCCAGAGGCUUGUAGACCUAAAGCGGUGUGAUGUGGUCCAGAUCUGACACCCCUAUUAGCUCAACCACAGUCUUCACAGCUGCAGUCGUCUGCAUCUGAUACACCGGCCAUGACAGGUGAUACAGAUCUGCCAUUCCCAGCAGUUCAGCUGCAGUCACAGCAGUCCACUGCUGUAGUAUUUAAUUUACCAGCUGCACCAGUUCCUACUACACUGGCCGUGAAGGGUGAAACUUUUGAGAAUUCCCAGAUGGAUACAGAUCUGCCAUGCACUCCACCACUGCCUGACAACCUCACCCAGAAGUGCAUACACUGGGCCUUUCAAGACUGACAGAGCAGAGAUGGGUUGCUGACAAGGAAAAAUAAAACAUACACACACACACUUUAUCCACAAUGUAAAUAAGUUGUAAUUGCUUGUAAAUGUAAUGUUUGCUCCAUUUUAUUUUAGGAUUGGAGAUAUCUACUCCUAUAAAUCCAUUAUCAAUGUCUGCAUAUUUACUCUAAAUAUCUAUCAAAUCAAAGUGUGAUUGAUAAUUAUAAAAUACUAUGUGUACAGUUUUAGGAACUUCUGUGUACUUUUUUCUGAGUUGAAAAACAUGCCUCCCUCUCACACAGACACACACUACACCCAAUGUAAAUAAAUUGUAAUAACUUGUUUAUUUUAUGUAUGCUCCAUUUUAUUUGAGGAAAAUAUCUGUAAUAAAGUACAUUCACAGUUAAAGUAAUGUGGUUUAUUGGAUAUUUCUCCAAAUACAAUGUGUGACCAGAAGGAAGUCGGCAGACCUACAACCCUUGGACUGCAGGUUUUGUCACAUGAAGCUGAAAAAUAGAGAGAUGGGGAGUUGAAAGGUUCAUCAUUAAUAACUGACACAAUUCUAUACUGAAUACAUAUUAUAAUAAUAGAGUGACCAAUAGUUACUGUAUUGUGAUUGUUUUAUUUACUCAAUCAAGUAGUGCCCCAAGGAGGGAUCGCCUGUGUCUCAAAAACAGUAGAAAAGGUCAAAUAAGGUCACCAAAAUUUAUAUUACGGCUAUACACGACUGGCCGCAGCGCACGAAGCGCCAUAUUUUCCGUUCCAUCCUAACAGAAACACAGGGUUUUUCGUUUUUAUUGGAGUAGAAACACCAUAAUAUUAAUCUAAUUAAUUAAGCAAGUACCAGUCAAAAGUUUGGACACGCCUACUCAUUCCAGGGUUUUUAAAAAUGUUUACUAUUUUCUACAUUGCAGAAUAGUGAAUACAUCACAACUAUGAAAUAACACAUAUGGAAUCAAUUAAGAACAAAUUCUUAUUUACAAGGACAGCCUACUCCUUCCUCCCCAUUGGCGAAUUCAACCCCGGUCUCCCGCGUGCCCGCACGACACAGGAAUUCUUUAGCUAAAUUGCCCAGCACUGUAGACUACUGCCAUGUUGUACAGCACCAUGUUUUUCUUGAAAUAGAAACACCAUAAUAUUAAUCAAAUUAAUUAAGCAACAUUUCUUAAAAUCAAUCCCAUAUACUAUGUUCUUGCAAAAAAAUGUUUUAAAUUCUCUAGUACAGCCACUAUUGAAGGCUAUCAAAUGCUUCUCAAAGAUGCCCUCUGGUGGUCAAACUAGCACUAACUAGCAUUAAUGGUACCAGUGGUUGGCACUUAAAUAAAGUGCCAUAGAAUUCUGCGGCACCACACAAGCUGUGCUGCAGUACGCUGUAUAACAAGUAUAUAAACAUCCCCAUCAGACCGUUUUUGUGUAAUCCAUUAUGUAAUGUAGUACACUUGUAAUAAUUUGGUUGAAAUCCAGAGAGGUUACAAACAUUUGCUAGAUCCUCUAUGAGGCUGUGAAGGGACCCAAGUUGUGGAUUUAAAAGAAAACCUGAAUCAUCAGCAUACAAUGUCACCUUUGUUUUUAAGCCCUGUAUUUCUAAUCCCUUGACAUUAUUGUUGGAUCUGAUUUUAAUAGCUAACAUUUCGAUGGCCAUAAUAAAUAGAUAUGCCGAUAGUGGACAACCUUGUUUUACUACUCUUGACAGUUUAAAACUUUCUGAGAAGUAGCCAUUAUUUACUAUUUUACACCUAGGGUUUCUAUACAUUAUUUUAACCAAUUUUAUAAGAGAUUCUCCAAAAUAUAUAAACUCCAGUCGUACUUUUGUCAUGGAUAUUCUUGUGCAGGGACACAAGUCAAUCUUAAAGGAAUCAUUGUUUAUUUGUCAGUGCUCUGGAGAGGUCCCAACCUAUUCAAAGCACCAUAGUACACAUGUCAAUCAGGACCUCCCCCUGGGCAGUCCCAGCAGUUGUCUUAUAUACGGCGAUACACAGACAAUUUAUAUUUGCAUGAUUUAGCAUAAUUAAUUAAUCAAUACCAUCUUGUUUCAUUGAUGUGACCGACCAAUACUGGUUCAUAACAUGUGACAAACCAAUACAUUACGAGGCUUCUUCUCUCUAAGCUGAGACCUUGAAACUGAUAUCUUUCGUUCGUUCUCAAAACAAGGUCUGGGCGUACUGCCAAAUUGCAGCUACUGAUAAGUAAGGAUUCAUUAAAUCAGUCACUUGUAUGAACACAGAAAUUGGUUAUUAGAACAGCACAUAAACAGAACACAGACAUUAGUUAUAAGAAAAGCACAAACAUUAAAAUUCCCUUUACACUUUAUCAAAAGCCUUUUCAAAGUCAGCUAUGAAUAGCAGGCCUGGUUUCCCAGAUUUUUCAUACUGUUCCAUUGUUUCCAGUACUUGCCUUAUAUUAUCUCCAUGUAAAACCCUAUCUGAUUAGAAUGAAUAAUGCCUUUUUAAUUCUAUGCGCUAUUCAUUUUUCUAUAAUGUUUUCAUCGCAACACUGUGUAAGGUGCCUCCAAUUUAUUAAAUGUACUGAAUCUUUAUAUUUCUCACUUGUAUCCUGUUUCAGAUAUAAUGAAAUCAGACCUUCUUGUUGAGUAUCUGAUAAUCUACCAUUUACAUUGGAGUGGUUAAAACAUGCUAAUAACGGUCCUCUGAGUAUAUCAAAAAAGGUUUGGUAUACCUCAACUGGUAUGCCAUCCAGCCCUGGGGUUUUCCUGGACUUAAAGGCUUUAAUUGCAUCAAGAAGUUCCUCCUUUGUAAUUUCACCUUCACAUGAGUCUUUCUGUACAGCUGUUAAUUUUACAUUAUUAACAGAAAAAAAUCCAAUCAAUUAGCUUCGGUUAGAGGAGAUGUAGGAGAUUGAAACUAAAACAUAUAAUUGGAUGAAUUAUAGGUGACUAUUUUUGGUUGCAUUUCUAUGUUCUCAUCGAGUUUUCUUUAUUUGUAUAACUGUCACGCUCGUCGAAAUGAAUGGACCAAGGCGCAGCGUGCGUAGAGUUCCACAUCUUUUAAUUAAUCGAAACUCACCAGACAAAACAAUCAAGCACAAACUAAACGUGAAACUAAUGACGUGCACACAGGCAACUAACCAAAAAACAAGAUCUCACAAACUAAAGUUGGCAAAAGGCUGCCUAAGUAUGAUCCCGAAUCAGAGACAACGAUAGACAGCUGCCUCUGAUUGGGAACCAUACCCGGCCAACAAAGAAAUAGAAAAACUAGAAUGCCCAGCCAAAUCACACCCUGACCUAACCAAAUAGAGAAAUAAAAAGGCUCUCUAAGGUCAGGGCGUGACAAUAACUUGAAUAAGUUCCUUCAUUUCUUUUUGUUUUUCCUCUAACUUAUUCUGAGCCUCUAUGGUACAGUUUUUAUUGCUAUCUAUCUGUUCUGUUAGACCUUUUUUGUCCUUUGUUAAUUUGGACUAUUUUGGCCCAAUUAUUUUUAGAGCUACCUUGCAUGGCCUCUAAAGGCACAUUUAAAAGUGUCCCAUACAAUAAGGGGAUCUGCUGUACCUAUGUUAUGUCGGACAAAUUCAGAUAUAAAUUCCUCUGUACUUGUUAAAAACAAGUUAUCACCCAAUAGAGAUUGAUUAUAUUUGCAAUAUCCUCACCCAUGUAGAAACUGAGUAAGAGUAAUGUACAUGCCAAAUAUCUGUUGGUCUGACCGCAUUCUGUCACCAAUCAACACUAUGUUUGUAUUCUAAUCUUUUACCAUUUCGGUAACACUUUACUUGACACUGUCACGUUAAUGACCUGUUUUCCUUUUUCUUGUAUUUAUUUAGUUGGUCAGGGCGUGAGUUGGGUGGGUUUGUCUAUGUUUGAUUUUCUAUGUUGGGAUAUUUGUGUUCGGCCGGGUAUGAUUCUCAAUCAGAGACAGCUGUCAAUCAUUGUCCCUGAUUGUGAAUCAUACUUAGGCAGCCUGGGUUUCACGUGUGUUUUGUGGGUGUUUGUAUCUCGUGUCUGUGUUCGUGCCACAUGGGACUGUUUUCGGUUUGGUCACGUUUGUUGUUUUUGUAUGUGUAAGUGUUCAGUUUUACGUUCAUUAAAUAAUGACUACUUUCCA